rnacentral:miRNA from 1 species
GGUAUCCGUUUGGGGAUGGU